rnacentral:rRNA from 1 species
UACGUAGGGUGCGAGCGUUGUCCGGAAUUAUUGGGCGUAAAGAGCUCGUAGGCGGUGUGUCGCGUCGGCCGUGAAAACCUGGGGCUCAACUCUGGGCGUGCGGUCGAUACGGGCAUCACUGGAGUUCGGCAGGGGAGACUGGAAUUCCUGGUGUAGCGGUGAAAUGCGCAGAUAUCAGGAGGAACACCGAUGGCGAAGGCAGGUCUCUGGGCCGAUACUGACGCUGAGGAGCGAAAGCGUGGGGAGCGAACAGG